AUUGAACGCUGGCGGCAUGCCUUACACAUGCAAGUCGAACGGCAGCACGGGGGCAACCCUGGUGGCGAGUGGCGAACGGGUGAGUAACGCAUCGGAACGUGCCCAGUUGUGGGGGAUAACCAGUCGAAAGACUGGCUAAUACCGCAUACGACCUACGGGUGAAAGCGGGGGAUCGCAAGACCUCGCGCUAUUGGAGCGGCCGAUGUCUGAUUAGCUAGUUGGCGGGGUAAGAGCCCACCAAGGCGACGAUCAGUAGCUGGUCUGAGAGGACGACCAGCCACACUGGGACUGAGACACGGCCCAGACUCCUACGGGAGGCAGCAGUGGGGAAUUUUGGACAAUGGGCGCAAUCCUGAUCCAGCCAUGCCGCGUGCGGGAAGAAGGCCUUCGGGUUGUAAACCGCUUUUGGCAGGAACGAAACGGCGACUCCUAAUACGGGUCGUUAAUGCCGGUACCUGCAGAAUAAGCACCGGCUAACUACGUGCCAGCCGCCGCUGUAACAC
rnacentral:rRNA from 1 species